rnacentral:lncRNA from 1 species
CCAAUGUUUUGAUCCUUCUCUUGAACUUGAGUACCUUACUCAAUGUUCUUGCUUGCCCUUAUUGUCCUUACCCAAGCCCUAAACCACCUUCACACCACCCUCCUAUUGUUAAGCCACCAGUUCACAAACCACCAAAGCAUUCUCCUACUCCUAAACCACCAGUUCAUAAACCACCAAGAUAUCCUCCUAAACCAUCACCUUGUCCACCCCCAUCAUCAACACCAAAACCACCUCAUCAUCCCAAACCCCCAGCAGUACACCCACCACAUGUUCCAAAACCACAUCCACCUUAUGUUCCAAAACCACCAAUUGUUAAACCUCCAAUAGUACAUCCACCUUACGUACCAAAACCCCCAGUUGUGAAACCACCACCAUAUGUCCCUAAACCACCUGUUGUGAGACCACCCUAUGUUCCUAAACCACCAGUUGUACCUGUAACACCACCUUAUGUUCCUAAGCCACCAAUUGUUUUCCCACCACAUGUUCCUCUACCUCCAGUUGUACCAUCACCACCACCUUAUGUACCAACACCUCCAAUUGUGAAACCACCAAUUGUUUUUCCACCACAUGUUCCUCUACCUCCAGUUGUGCCUGUAACACCACCUUAUGUGCAACCACCACCUAUUGUAACUCCACCAACACCAACACCUCCAAUUGUGACACCACCAACACCACCUAGUGAAACACCUUGUCCUCCACCACCACUUGUACCUUAUCCACCACCACCAGCACAACAAACAUGUUCCAUUGAUGCUUUGAAGUUGGGUGCAUGUGUUGAUGUGCUUGGUGGACUCAUACAUAUUGGUAUAGGUGGAAGUGCUAAACAAACAUGUUGUCCAUUGCUUCAAGGACUUGUUGAUUUGGAUGCUGCUAUAUGUCUUUGCACCA